AGUUUCUUAUUGCCCAGGCCGGCCUUGAACUCACUAUGUAGCAGAAGACAACCUCAAAUGUAUAGUUAUUCCUAAGCCAAAAAAAAAAAAAAAAAAAAAAGUCACAACUCUCUUGUUCCUCAACUUUACCCGAUUCUUCUGAAGUUUUUUGCCUUUGGCAGAAUCUGGGAGGAAUGAGGAAGUAGCAGAAAUUUUUGCUUGUGGCUAUUCUCGAAGUAACUCACUUUACCCAGGAAUACCUGGGAAUUGAAAAGGAAGCCAAGUGCCCCCCCCCCCCCUCUGGGAUAAAGUUUUUGAGAUUCCUUUGGAGUCUGAACUCACAUCUCUUGACAUGGCCCCCUCAGGAUUGCCCAGCACGAAGCAACCCUGGCCUCCUAAGGAGAAUCUGCUCUUCUCCCCCGAUUCCUGAGGCCAUGGUACACACAGGAUUAGCAGCAGUUAAACCAAACCCUGCUUUCAAAUAACAGGGCAGAGGAGUUAGAAAGGCUUUCGGUUGGUUACAAUCUGGUGGGACUGGAAUAUUAGCGUUUAGUAGCCUCUCCACGUAUCCCCAUAGCCGGUGUGGGCAUUUUCUGGGCUACAACUUGCAGCUCUCUAAGAGUGUCCAUGAUACUUGAUGAUGUGGGAGCCUCAGCAAGCCCACAGUGUAGACAGCGCAAAGUCUAUUUCAGCUGUCCUAGCAGGGUGUCAUCACUACUUGGUAAAGCAAUCUGACCACACAGUGCCACAAGAUCUCCAUGAACUGCCGUGUGUGUGUGUGUGUGUGUGUGUGUGUGUGUGUGUGUGUGUGUGUGUGUGUUUCUCUACCACCUCCACGGAGCCAUAGAAUUCUAGGAAACUAGCUACCUGUACUGCUUUGAGUAGUGGUGGUGAGCUAUGAUGAAGCUCUUUGCGUAUGUGUUUUUGAGUGGUAAUGACUGGAAAGUGAUGAUUUCUUCUGUGCGGCAGGCAGCAGGGAUGGAAGGCAGGGCUUGAUGUGUGAGGCCAGUGCUGAGUCAUGCUCGCUUGCUCUCAGCGUAGUGACUUUUUCUCUAUUGUACAUUCCUAUUCCUUCCUGGACCCAGGGGUUGCCUAAUGUGAGGGAGGGAAUUUUCUCAUUCUCAAGCAAUUUUUACUUCUUCCUCCUCCUCCUCCUCUUCCUCUUCCUCCUCCUCCUCCUCCUCUUCCUCUUCCUCCUCCUCCUCCUCCUCCUCCUCCUCCUCCUCCUCCUCCUCUUCUUCUUCUUCUUCUUCUUCUUCUUCUUCUUCUUCUUCUUCUUCUUCUUCUUCUUCCUUUUGGCUUAGCACAGAUUCGCCAAGAGAGGCAGCUCUGGUGUAUUUAACACUGAGAUAAUAAUCUAAGGCCAUUUUCUUGGCGUGUGAUGUCCUCUGCCCAUACUGUGUCUGCACAUGUAAGCCAUGGGCUCCUCUCCUCUUAUCUAGGUGUUUAGAUGAUUACCUAUCUCUGCAUCAGCGUAUCUAGGUGUGUUGUGACUAGCUAGCUAUCUGUGGCUGUGUAGCUAUUGGUGUAACCAGAUAUUAUAUGUAGAUAUCUGGCUGUGUACAUCUAGUGAUCGCUGUACACAGUGAUGUAUCUAGACAUUAUCUUAGGGAAGGUCUGGUGUGGGGUGGAUACCUGUCAUCUAGUGGGCGGUGGCUUUAUCUUCCUGACAACCUGGAGAAAGAGCCCUGAGACAUUUUUCUGGCACUGACUUUGGCUCUUUGGCUUCUCCUCACCCAGUCUUCCUGUCACAGGGGCAAAUAAGGUCUGAGGCUCCAGUGUAGGGCUCUGUAGCCCUCUCUGGUGACCUCUGCCUGCACUAGGAAGUCAUGUGCUUAACAAACCUAGAAACUUGGUCCUUCUCGCUAUUUUGGAUCUUUUCUUCUGUGAAUUUGGAUACAGUGGCUCUUUACCCUUAGAAUGGUAGGCCUGCCUGCCUCCCACCAAGAUUCUUAGUUGCAUCCCUGGAAACACAGCCGGAAAUGCAGUUGAUUCUUUGAGUCAGACGUAUGCUGGUGACAUUCACUUACUUGGCUCUUCAUGAAGAGAGGCCUCUAUCGGUUUGAUAUAGUAAUAUACUUGAUGAUGGGUCCCGUAGGAACCAAAAGGAUGUUAAGCUAUCAAAGCCUAGAGUGCACGCUCGCUCUCUCUCUCCUCCCCGUCUUUCUUCUCUCUCUCUGUCUUUCUUCUCUUUCUUUUUCUCUCUCUUUACCCCCUCUUUCCCUCUCUUUCUCUCCCCUACCCCUCUCUUUCAGUGAGAGUCUUGCUAGUAGCCCAUGCUAGCCCAGACCUCCUAAUCUUCCUGUCUCUGCACUCUAAGUAUACGCCAGCAUGUCCUACAAAUCUCCAGAGUAGGGCUUUGCAUCUUUGCCUGAUGCAUUCAUGUUUUUUUUUUUUUCUUGUGACCGUGAGUAUCCUUACAAGCCAUGGAAGGACUUUGGGUCCUGUUGGCUGUUGUUAAAUCCUUGUUGAUUGGAUGGCUUGAGUUGCUUGUGCAGAAGCAGGAAGGGGAAAGCAACAGCCUUGAAGCACUGCAGCUGUGUUGGGUGAUGUGGGCACAGGGUUAUCCUUUGGAAGAGCAUACUGCUUUAGCACAGGCUCCGGAGCUGUGGAUGUCGCUCCCUGGCUUCCACCCCUAGGACCCUAUUCCCUCCAAAAAUCUCAGAACACACACAUUUCCAGGGGAAGUUUCCAGAACAUCACCCUGUGAAAAGGCCAGGUAGAAGAGUGACAGCCAGACCUUGCAGGAAGGCACAGAGACCCAGUUUUCUAGAAAGGUGGAUUUCAACACAGGAGGCUUCACUCUGUCUGGCUCUGUGUGGCAAGUCCCAGAGAAGACUCAUCAUAUACGUAAACAAUGGUGUCUGGCGACCCUGAUUCCCCAUCUUCUCAUGAAAUAUCUUAGGGAAAUCUUAAGGAAGUAACACAGGUUGAGGAAGUAACACAGGUUUUUGUAUUUUAGUCAUCAGAUAUAUACUCGAUACUAGGUGGGCCCCGAACUUCCCCUGUUGAUGAGUUUAGCUGAAUUGUGCUCGGGGCCUGUGGGCUUUGAAAGCAAUGGCCCCUGAAUCAGAAGCCCUGUGUUCCAAGGCCUGCAGUACCUGGGUCUCUGGAAAGAAGGAAGGAGUAGGUAGGAAGAAGAGGCAAUCAACACAGGAACACAUCCCUGGCCUGGGGCCUGUGCUACUGUGCAAAAGCUUUUAUCAUUUCAAAGGCAGC
rnacentral:lncRNA from 1 species